rnacentral:rRNA from 1 species
CCUACGGGCGGCAGCAGUGAGGAAUAUUGGUCAAUGGGCGCGAGCCUGAACCAGCCAAGUAGCGUGAAGGAUGACUGCCCUACGGGUUGUAACCUUCUUUUAUAAAGGAAUAAAGUGAGGCACGUGUGCCUUUUUGUAUGUAAUUUAUGAAUAAGGAUCGGCUAACUCCGUUCCAGCAGCCGCGGUAAUAAGGAGGAUCCGAGCGUUAUUCGGGUUUAUUGGGUUUAAAGGGAGCGUAGAUGGGUUGGUAAGUCAGUUGUGAAAGUUUGCGGCUCAACCGUAAAAUUGCAAUUGAUACUGGCAGUCUUGAGUACAGUUGAGGUAGGCGGAAUUCGUGGUGUAGCGGUGAAAUGCUUAGAUAUCACGAAGAACUCCGAUUGCGAAGGCAGCUUACUAAACUGCCACUGACAUUGAUGCUCGAAAGUGUGGGUAUCAAACAGGAUUAGAUACCCGAGUAGUC